rnacentral:rRNA from 1 species
CGACCUGAGCUCAGGCAAGGCUACCCGCUGAACUUAAGCAUAUCACUAAGCGGAGGAAAAGAAACUAACAAGGAUGCGCUUAGUAACGGCGAGCGAACCGCGCAAAGCCCAACUUGAAAAUCUCCCUUGGAGAAUUGUAGUCUAUAGAAGUACCCUCUGCAACGGGCCGAGCUAAAGUCUCCUGGAAAGGGGCGUCAGA